AAAGUAGUAUUGAUUUGAGAAUGGUUUAAAAAUGUUAAUGCAUAAAUAUAAUGACUUUUUACUGUGAUAUAAAAAAUGGUAAAAAUGAUGAAUCAGAGGAGAGAAGGGGAAGGAGAAUUUAGACAUUUAUACAGCACCUACUAUGUGCCAGGCACUGUGAUAGCAUUUUUACAAUUACUAUCCAAUCUGAUCCUCACAACAACCCCACAGGGUAGGAGCUUAUUAUUAUCACCAUUCACAAUUAAGGAAACUUUUGAAAAAAGAGGUUAUAUGAUUUGCCUCAUGUCACACAACUAAUGAUGGUCUGGGGCUACAUUUGAAUUCAGGUCUUCCUGACUCCAGAACCAAAACUCUAUCCAUUACACUACCUAGCUAUACAACUCCACAACCAUACGAUGUAAAUGGAAAGAAAAGACACAAAACUAUCCAAACUGAAUAUAUCAAAAUUACAAAGAACAAGAAUGGUUCCAAAAAAGAGAAAUGAUGAGGAAUCCCCCAUUCCACUCCUUUGACAAUGUGAGAGGGACAGAAGAUAGCAUGUUGCAUUUAUUUUCAGAUUUUUUCAAUAUAGUAUCGGUUUUCACUUUUUCUCUUUUUCUCUUUUGUUCCCCAUCAAAAAAAAUACCUGGCCUUUCUUGCCAAGGCAAACUCCUCUUUAAGUCCCAUUCUCUUUUGCUGUAUCCGGCUGAAAAUGUUCCUCUAUCAUCUCUCUCACCAUUCUUCAGUUUCUCUGUUAAAUGGCUCUAUCAUCACUGCCUACGAACACAUACAUGCCUCUACCAUCCUCAGCAUGCCUGCUAUUAUUCUAUAUCUCUCCUCCUUUUCAUAGCUAACUGAUCUGAAAAGAUCUUCUACAAUUCUUGUUUUUCACUUUUUUCCUUCUCCACUUCUUUUUAAUUCUCUGCAUUCUAACUUCUGGUCCCAGCUAAAACUGCUCCUUUCAAAGUUACCAAAGAUCUCCUGGCUACCACAUCUACUUGCUCUUUCCUCAACACUUAUCUUUCUUAACCUUUCUUCAACCCCCUUUUGUCUUUA
rnacentral:lncRNA from 1 species